rnacentral:rRNA from 1 species
AUGGCCCGGGUAGGCGGCGGCGAUGUCGAGAUCGGGGGGCUUCCGGCGCCGGCGGGGGACCCUCGGCAGCGGGUCAUCGCCGCCGACGACUCCCUCGACGACGACGGCAAGCCCAGGCGGACAGGGACGGUGUGGACGGCGAGCGCGCACGUGAUCACGGCGGUGAUCGGCUCCGGCGUGCUGUCGCUGCCCUGGUCCGUGGCGCAGCUGGGCUGGGUCGCCGGCCCGGUCACGCUCCUGCUCUUCGCCCUCAUCACCUACUACACCUCCGUGCUCCUCGGCGACUGCUACCGCAGCGAAGACGCCGUCACCGGCAAGAGGAACUACACCUACAUGGAGGCCGUCGGGUCCCUCCUAGGUAAAGGGCAGGUGUGGUUUUGCGGCCUCUGUCAGUACGUUAAUCUCGUUGGGACUGCAAUCGGGUACACCAUUACAGCAUCCAUCAGUGCAGCGGCUCUGUACAAGGCCAACUGCUUCCACAGCAAAGGCCACUCGGCCGACUGCGGCGUGUACACCACCAUGUACAUGGUCGUGUUUGGGAUCUCCCAGAUCGUCUUCUCCCAGCUCCCCAAUCUCCACGAGAUGGCCUGGCUGUCGAUCCUCGCCGCCGUCAUGUCCUUCUCCUACGCCACCAUCGGCGUGGGCCUCUCCUUGGCACAGACCAUAACAGGUCCUACGGGCAAGACAACCAUUGGCGGCACUCAAAUUGGGGUGGACGUCACUUCGGCCCAGAAGAUAUGGCUGACAUUGCAAGCGCUCGGCAACAUCGCCUUCGCCUACUCAUACUCCAUGGUUCUUAUAGAAAUUCAGGACACGGUGAAGGCGCCGCCGGCCGAAAACAAGACGAUGAGGAAGGCGAACCUGAUGGGGGUCUCCACCACCACGGCCUUCUACAUGCUCUGCGGGUGCCUCGGCUACUCGGCCUUCGGCAACGACGCGCCGGGGAACAUGCUCACCGGCUUCGGCUUCUACGAGCCCUACUGGCUCAUCGACUUCGCCAACGUGUGCAUCGUGGUGCACCUCGUCGGCGCCUACCAGGUGUACUGCCAGCCCAUCUACGCCGCCGUGGAGAGCUGGGCGGCGGGGCGGUGGCCCAACUCGGAGUUCGUCGUCCGGCAGUACUACCCCUUCUCGGGCAAGUUCAGCCUCAACAUGUUCAGGCUAGUGUGGAGGACGGCGUUCGUGAUCGUGAGCACGGUGCUGGCCAUCUCGCUGCCAUUCUUCAACGACAUCCUCGGCCUGCUCGGCGCGCUCGGCUUCUGGCCGCUCACCGUCUACUUCCCCGUGGAGAUGUACAUCUCGCAGAGCAAGAUGAAGAAGUACUCCAGGAAGUGGGUGGCGCUGCAGACCCUGAGCUUCGCGUGCUUCGUGGUCACCGUCGCCGUCACCGUCGCCUCCAUCCAGGGGAUCACCCAGUCGCUCAAGAACUAUGUGCCGUUCAAGACCAAGUUGUGA